CGAAAGAAGCGCACCGCUUGCUGAGCCCGGGGACUGGAGUUGAUUGAGAAUUUGCUGUGGGGCCAGGCUUGGGCUGGAAGCUUUAUGAACAUUGUAUCAUUUAAUCCUCACUGCAUCCCUGUGAGAUGAACAAACCGAGGCUGAGAGAAGUUAGUAACGGCAUAGCUGGUGUUGCAAGUUGCUGCCUGACCCCUCUGUAUGGCGCAGCCUGAACUUUGAUGUAGAAGGUGCACGUGACGAGUCUGUCAGCGAGCAGUGGAACGUAAAACCAUGACGGGGUCACCCAGGUCGGGAAGGAUGAAGGCUGCUGCAAGCUUCCCUGGCCUCGUUCCUGAAGACCCUGAGACACCGAUGAGAGAAAGGUCAUCGGGACUGAGAGAAGAAACCAUCUGAGUACAGCAGGACGCAGCCCCCCAUCAGCUCCAGAGGGCCAUCUCCUCUCCUGGGCCUUUUGGGAGCAGCCGAGGAGAUUCAGGACACCAGGAGCCAGUCCUCCGGCACCUUAUCCUCGGAUCGCCGAUGAUGUGUUGUUCAGACCUUUACAUGAGCUUUUAGCUCAUGGUGUUGCUUCUGUUCCAAUGUGGAUCUGCCCUCUAGCUGGAUUGGUAAGUGCCCUCUUGGCCUAGUUAUCGUAUGGGGUGUUUACCUACCUGUCUUCUGCAUUUAUCUCCCUGAGAUUCCACUAAAAAUCCAUCCUACAGGGUCGCCUGGCUGGCUCAGUCGGUUAAGCAGCUGCCUUCAGCCCAGGUCAUGAUCCCAGGGUCCUGGGAUGGAGGCUCGCAUGGGGCUCCCUGCUCAGCGAGGAGCCUGCUUCUCUCUCUCCCUCUGCCCCACCACUGCUCGUGCUCUCUCUCUCAAAUAAAUGAAUAAAAUCUUAAAAAAAAUAUCCAGCCUAGACCUGAGGGUCUUGGCCAGCUACUUCCUCUUCCAAAUUCUGGCUCUACCUGCUCUGUGUGCUGUUUUCUGUGAAUGGACUUGAUGCUCCUUGCUUUUAGUCCCAGAUCCCUCAGUCCACUCUUCCUCAUUGUCCCCUAUGUCUGUCCUCCCUGUACCAGAGAAUGAGUUCCAGCCCUCUCUUCUCCUUCCUGUGAUUUUCAGCACUGACUCAUUGGGUGAGCCCCUAUCCCCAUAGGGGAUCCCUCCAGCACCAGAGGAGGCAGAAAAACAUUUUCUUUGAUAACAGAAUGGAAAUCAUAAAGCACAGGAAAAGUGAGAAAAAGCAUUUACUGUUCUGUUUUUAUUAGCAUUUGAUUUAUAAAAAUUAUAUACUUAUGACAAACAGUUUAAACAUUCAAACACUGCACGGCAGUGGGGAAAACAAGCAUUUCUCCCUCUAU